rnacentral:rRNA from 1 species
GAUGAACGCUGGCGGCGUGCCUAAUACAUGCAAGUCGAGCGAACGGACGAGAAGCUUUCUUCUCUGAUGUUAGCGGCGGACGGGUGAGUAACACGUGGAUAACCUACCUAUAAGACUGGGAUAACUUCGGGAAACCGUAGCUAAUACCGGAUAAUAUUUUGAACCGCAUGGUUCAAAAGUGAAAGACGGUCUUGCUGUCACUUAUAGAUGGAUCCGCGCUGCAUUAGCUAGUUGGUAAGGUAACGGCUUACCAAGGCAACGAUGCAUAGCCGACCUGAGAGGGGGAUCGGCCACACUGGAACUGAGACACGGUCCAGACUCCUACGGGAGGCAGCAGUAGGGAAUCUUCCGCAAUGGGCGAAAGCCUGACGGAGCAACGCCGCGUGAGUGAUGAAGGUCUUCGGAUCGUAAAACUCUGUUAUUAGGGAAGAACAUAUGUGUAAGUAACUGUGCACAUCUUGACGGUACCUAAUCAGAAAGCCACGGCUAACUACGUG